UAACUCCGUGCCAGCAGCCGCGGUAAUACGGAGGGUGCAAGCGUUAAUCGGAAUUACUGGGCGUAAAGCGUGCGUAGGCGGUUUAUUAAGUCAGAUGUGAAAGCCCCGGGCUUAACCUGGGAACUGCAUUUGAAACUGGUCAACUAGAGUAUGGUAGAGGAAAGUGGAAUUUCUGGUGUAGCGGUGAAAUGCGUAGAUAUCAGAAGGAACAUCAAUGGCGAAGGCAGCUUUCUGGACCAAUACUGACGCUGAGGUACGAAAGCGUGGGUAGCAAACAGGAUUAGAUACCCUGGUAGUCCACGCCGUAAACGAUGAUAACUAGCCGUUGGGGGGAUUUACCCUUUAGUGGCGAAGCUAACGCGUUAAGUUAUCCGCCUGGGGAGUACGGCCGCAAGGUUAAAACUCAAAUGAAUU
rnacentral:rRNA from 1 species